rnacentral:lncRNA from 1 species
AAGGGAAUCACCACUAUAUAUAACAACCUUCUCCAUUUCUCAAAAACCAGGUGCAGGAAAUUUUCAAAUCUCCAUUUUCAAUAUCCUUUACCUGCAUCUGUUUUUCAAUUUUCAUAUAUCAUUUUCAUUUUCUCCCUGAAAAUCAUUCAAACAAAUCAAGAUAAUAUCUAUUGAAAUUGAAUACCAUUCAUCUGGGAAAGAAGAAAAUGCCGUCAUCGUUGGAGGAUGAACUCUUCCCAUCAACACCAGGAAAGUUCAAGAUCGAGAGAAAUCACGGCAUGAUGAACCGGCA